rnacentral:rRNA from 1 species
GUCUAUGGCCAUUCCGCCCUGAAGGCGCCCGAUCUCGACUGAUCGCGGAAGCUAAGCAGGGUCGGGCCUGGCUAGUACUUGGAUGGGAGAAAAGUGAGGGUCCUGAGGCCAGGUUCCCCAAGAAC